GCUUCUCACGGGAUUCAAACCUGACAACUCUCCUGCUGGCCUGCACACAACCCUCUCCCUCUGCAUCAGCUAACAAAGCAGUGCGCAGGCAGCAAUGCAAGAGCUGCUCUUUUCACAGGGCAAGGCAAGUGGAAAUCACCUCCUGACCUGCACCUGAAUGAUGCCAUGAGCAAGAAGGAGGUGCUGGAGGGGCUGG
rnacentral:lncRNA from 12 species